GACACUAUAGCCAAGUGGUUAAGGCGACAGAUUAGAACCGCGAACGCGAGUGAUCUGUUUCCCUCUGGGAGCGUAGGUUCGAACCCUACUGGUGUCG
rnacentral:tRNA from 1 species